rnacentral:rRNA from 1 species
GACGAACGCUGGCGGCGUGCUUAACACAUGCAAGUCGAACGGAAAGGCCCUGCUUUUGUUGGGUGCUCGAGUGGCGAACGGGUGAGUAACACGUGAGUAACCUGCCCUUGACUUUGGGAUAACUUCAGGAAACUGGGGCUAAUACCGGAUAGGAGCUCCUGCUGUAUGGUGGGGGUUGGAAAUUUUCGGCGGUUGGGGAUGGAAUCGCGGCUUAUCAGCUUGUUGGUGGGGUAGUGGCUUACCAAGGCAUUGACGGGUAGCCGGCCUGAGAGGGUGACCGGCCACAUUGGGACUGAGAUACGGGCCAGACGCCUACGGGGGGCAGCGGUGGGAAAUAUUGCACAAUGGGCGGAAGGCUGGUGCAGCGACGCCGCGUGCGGAAGGACGGCUGUCGGGUUAUAAACCGCUUGCGCCUGUGACGAAGCGUGAGUGACGGUAAUGGAUAAAGAAGCACCGGCUAACUACGUG